rnacentral:tRNA from 1 species
GCGGACGUGGUGGAAUGGUAGACACGCUGGUCUUAGAAACCAGUGCCGCAAGGCGUGAGAGUUCGAGUCUCUCCGUCCGCACCA